rnacentral:lncRNA from 1 species
CCUAUUCUCAAUUGCUGACUGGAAGAUGCAUUUUAUGUUUGUGAAGGAUGUGACUACAUAAAGCUUUCUGAGGUCAUGAUUCUCUGAUCAAACCAGCACUGUUUCCAUUUUUCUAGACUGUUCUGUAUCUUUUGCCUUAUAUGUACCUGCUUAUAUACAACUGUCUCAAGAAUGCUAUAAAUCUAGAUUGAUCUUGAGACCAGCUUCCUACCAGCAGAUUAGAUGUGACACACAUCAGAUUAAAAUGAAAUAUUUCACUCCAGUAUUGUUCUGUUGUUCUAGAACAGCAGCUCUUGGGUUUCUGUUGUUACUAUUCUUAGUUUAAUUUGCACACAUUAUUUUCUCAGUGUGCAUUGGUGUUUGAGUGCAGAAGUGACGAUAGGGGAGAGGA